UGGGGAAUAUUGGACAAUGGGCGAAAGCCUGAUCCAGCCAUGCCGCGUGUGUGAAGAAGGUUUUCGGAUUGUAAAGCACUUUAAGUUGGGAGGAAGGGCAUUAACCUAAUACGUUAGUGUUUUGACGUUACCGACAGAAUAAGCACCGGCUAACUCUGUG
rnacentral:rRNA from 1 species